rnacentral:rRNA from 1 species
UACGAAGGGGGGCUAGCGUUGUUCGGAAUCACUGGGCGUAAAGGGCGCGUAGGCGGCCGAUCAAGUCGGGGGGUGAAAGCCUGUGGCUCAACCACAGAAUUGCCUUCGAUACUGUUUGGCUUGAGACCGGAAGAGGUAAGUGGAACUGCGAGUGUAGAGGUGAAAUUCGUAGAUAUUCGCAAGAACACCAGUGGCGAAGGCGGCUUACUGGUCCGGUUCUG